GUAUUGUCGACAGCUUUUUAAUAUCAAAAAUUUAUAUUACCAUGUUUUUUAUUCCUUUUCAGUGGCUAUAAAAUAUUUCAGUGUGGCAAAAAAAAAAAUAUAUAUAUAUAAGAAACAUAAUAAGAGUUGACAAAAAAAAAAAAAAACAUAAUAAUAAGAAGCCUUAUCCUUCUUCUAAAUCUUUCUUUAAGCUUCUGUUAUCACCACACAUAGUUGAUGCUGUCUAAAGAUCCGUUACCAGAAGUUGAGAGUUGCCGACGACAAGGUAACUUGGGAGAUGGAAAAUUCUUGUCAGAGAGAGAGAGAUAGAUUACCAUUCUUAUUCGAGUAGUAACUUGGUGGGAUCUGGAGCUCUUCAGAUUCCAAACUCAACUCAGAAAGCUUUUAGAUUCUGAGGGAUGGAUCCUUGAAAAAGCUUGAAAGCAAAUUUGAAGAGAUGGUUCGGAGAAUAAAGAUGGGGUUCCUGUUGAGAAAUGAUUCCUAGAGUAAAACCUGCAUAUGAAAGAGGGAAGACAGUGAGAAGAAGAAGAACAACAAGCAAGGAGAAGAGGAAGAAGAAUCAAACGUCGUGAAGGAAGGAAGAAAGAAGAGAAGAGUGAGUAAUUAAUUGGUUAGUAAGCUAACUAAGUUCAGAGUUGGUAGAAUAGUUAAGCUUUGGAGUGUAAGAUUAGUCUAAAGACUAUAAGUAUGGAAUAUGUUUAAGUGAGCAAGGAAGCAGCAGGAAGGAGUCUACUACAAAGAUCUAAGUGUGACAGAUUGUAAGAAGUAUGCAAGUCUGAAUGAAAAAAAGGUGUUCGAUGAAGUAAACUCUUGCACAACAAAAACAGAGUCAGAGAAAGUGAUAAACAAACUUUUAAGUAAGAAUUACAACAGUUCCUCUUGUUGUAGCGGUUUGGGCUUCUCUUCAGUAUGGGAGUUACCAACCAGAAGCAGAAUGUGUUCCAUGCUUCGGUGAGGAUGAGAUCAGGACCGAAUCCAGCUUAUCAGUCUACGUUUAGCAUGAUAUCUUACACGACAAUACAGGGACACUUCAAGUUUAACCUCUAUGAGAGUAAUCCUGCUAGUGUCAGAUACGACAGUCUAUCUCGAUAGCUGCGAAGUUAAGCGAAACAUGCUGAUGAGUUCUGUGGUCAAGAAGUCGAGAUGGUGAUUUGAUUCUACAACCUUUGAAGGUGUUAGCUCCAGCUAGUGGAGUGUUCCUUCAAGUUCUUUACACUCUCUCGAUUGCUCCUCUAGCUUGUUUUACCAGGGAAGAAUCUUGUUUCGAACGACUAAGACUGAAAAAAAUAAUGCAGGGCUAAAACCAUCCGUGAGAGAGUACAAUAGCCCUGUUCGUUUCAAGAACGCAGCGGCAGGGAGGAGCGACCAGAAUU